rnacentral:lncRNA from 1 species
CUAUUUAAAAAAAUAUUAUAAUUUAAUAUAUUUUGUAUAAUUUACAAAGGCAUAGGACACACCAUUCUUUAAAAUAUUAAUCCAAAGAUCAAUAAGCAAUGUACUUGAUGCAAGUGUUAUAGUUACAUUCACAAUGUUUGUCAUAAACACCAAAAAUACAUCUCUAAAUAAAAAUCAAGUGUCAACAUCUACUUUGUUCAAAAGCACAUCUCUCUAAAAUUUAAUUAAUACUUUUAAGACCCUCCAUCACAAUUCCAAAGAAGAUCUUAUAUGCCACUAAAUAUAAAAUGUCAUAUUUGUGAUAAAAACCACUAUGCUUAUCAUUAUUUAAGUAAAUUUUUACAUUACUUCUUUUACUCCAAACCUCUUAAGCUGCUAGAUUGCUUCAAAUUACACUCUAUUGACCAAAAUCCAAUAAUUUCUAUAUUCUUAAUACUUCCAAAUAA